rnacentral:rRNA from 1 species
CCACCCUUGUAGUGUUGAUGUUCUAACGUCGACCCCUAAUCGGGGUUGCGGACAGUGCCUGGUGGGUAGUUUGACUGGGGCGGUCUCCUCCCAAAGAGUAACGGAGGAGCACGAAGGUGGGCUAAUCACGGUUGGACAUCGUGAGGUUAGUGCAAUGGCAUAAGCCCGCUUGACUGCGAGAAUGACAAUUCGAGCAGGUGCGAAAGCAGGUCAUAGUGAUCCGGUGGUUCUGAAUGGAAGGGCCAUCGCUCAACGGAUAAAAGGUACUCCGGGGAUAACAGGCUGAUACCGCCCAAGAGUUCAUAUCGACGGCGGUGUUUGGCACCUCGAUGUCGGCUCAUCACAUCCUGGGGCUGAAGUCGGUCCCAAGGGUAUGGCUGUUCGCCAUUUAAAGUGGUACGCGAGCUGGGUUUAGAACGUCGUGAGACAGUUCGGUCCCUAUCUGCCGUGGGCGUUGGAAGAUUGAAGGGGGCUGCUCCUAGUACGAGAGGACCGGAGUGGACGAACCUCUGGUGUUCGGGUUGUGUCGCCAGACGCAUUGCCCGGUAGCUAAGUUCGGAAUCGAUAACCGCUGAAAGCAUCUAAGCGGGAAGCGAGCCCUGAGAUGAGUCUUCCCUGAUACUUUAAGUAUCCUAAAGGGUUGUCGGAGACUACGACGUUGAUAGGUCAGGUGUGUAAGUGCUGUGAGGCAUUGAGCUAACUGAUACUAAUUGCCCGUGAGGCUUAACCA